GUACCAGACUCCUACGGGAGGCAGCAGUGAGGAAUAUUGGUCAAUGGGCGCGAGCCUGAACCAGCCAAGUCGCGUGAGGGAUGACGGCCCUACGGGUUGUAAACCUCUUUUGUCGGGGAGCAAAUUCCGUUACGUGUAACGGAGUCGAGAGUACCCGAAGAAAAAGCAUCGGCUAACUCCGUGCCAGCAGCCGCGGUAAUACGGAGGAUGCGAGCGUUAUCCGGAUUUAUUGGGUUUAAAGGGUGCGUAGGCGGGCUUUUAGGUCAGCGGUAAAAAUUCGGGGCUCAACCCCGUCCGGCCGUUGAAACUGGGGGCCUUGAGUGGGCGAGAAGUAUGCGGAAUGCGUGGUGUAGCGGUGAAAUGCAUAGAUAUCACGCAGAACUCCGAUUGCGAAGGCAGCAUACCGGCGCCCGACUGACGCUGAGGCACGAAAGCGUGGGUAUCGAACAGGAUUAGAUACCCUUGUAC
rnacentral:rRNA from 1 species